rnacentral:tRNA from 1 species
UCCUUGGUAGUCCAGUGGUUAGGACUCUGCCUCCAAUGCUGGGGAUAUGGGUUCAGUCCCUGGCCAGGGAA